AACCGGCCCCCACUUCAUCACUCUUUCUUUUUCUCUUUCUUUCUUUUUAUCUUUUGAGUUCUUUUCCUUUUUCACUCACCUUUCACAAAAAAAUAGGUGAAAUUAAUCUCUGUCGCUCACAAUUCGCAAAAAAAAUUGUAAACCUCAAACAAAGAAAUCGCAUAAAACCUCAAACCCUCUUAUCAACGAAGAGAAUUCCCACACAAUCGAAGUUUGAAACCAACAAAUCAAUUUCAAGUGUUAAGCUGCUAGGGUCUGGGUCUUCAAAUUCCGACGAGCUGUUUCCAUACGAACCGCGGCGCACCGUACCGUGCCAUGCCGUCGAACACAAUCCUCUCUGCUCUAUCUCCGGCGUUCAAGCCAUUAAGUGAUCCGUGGAUUCUUGUGACAUCUGAAAUUGAUUAGAUCAGCCAUUUGCAGUUCUGUCGGUUUGUUUUCGGUUUUCAAAACUUCUUUGUAUGUAUUAUGAACAAAAUUCUUGAGCGGAACCAUAAAAGUUGCUAUUCCUCACAAGACAAUGUUGCUGAGAACGAAACACAGCAUGCAUGUUGGUUGGAGUCAAAUGCAAAUUCAUAGAAUCUGAAUUUAAGAUUACCAUAUGUAUUUGAGAGCACAGCUGAUGAAAAUUUUACCGAUUGCAAAUGAUAAAUGUUACGAGCAUGGGAAAAGCAUAACCAAUUUUAAAUCAGCUUUUCAGGUAUGCAUUGAUUCCAGAUUCAAACCGUCACUUCCGUUUAGUAUGUUGUUUAUCAUUUUGUGAUCAUAACACUGUCAAGCGGUGUUACUAUUGUGAAUGUUAUGCGAGAAAGCAAAGAAAAUUCUAAUGGGAGAAAGCAAAGUUAAGGUGAAGAUUUUGGUUUGUCCUUUAGCUUUCAAUAAUUUCACUGCUAAUUAGGGUUUUUCUUCAUACGUUUUCCUUCAUGUUCAA